CCUUAUCACAAGAAACACCAGGAAAGCCCAAUUUUGAGGAACAGUGUGUAACGUUAAAUGGUCUGAAGUCUUCAAAAGUGUCAAGAUUAUGAAAGUCAGAGAAAGACUGAGAAACUUCCAUAGUGAAGAUUGAAGAGAUAUGUCAGCUAAUUGAAAUGUGUGAUUCAAAUUGGACAUUUGCAAUGAAAUUCAUUAUUAAGUGAAAUGGAAAAGCCAAAUGGGAUUCUAGGGUGUUUGAGAACAGAAUCCUGCUUCUCCUCAGUACUUGCCAUACAACAAAUACUCAAAAUGGACUUAUACAGUUUGUUCGUGCUCCAUCUUCUUCAGUGUGUGGCUUGUUUUCAGAGCCACAAGAUGGCCGUUCUAUUUCCAGGAGUGUUCUAGACCUAACAAAAGGCAAAUGGAGAAAACCAUGGGUCUACUGGGGCUGUCCCUUCUGAAUGGAAAGUCACAUCCAGAACCCAGCAGCCCUUUGUCUGUGUCAUCGUCACAACAUGUGACCACCUCAAGCUGCAAGGGAUGCUACUGAGAUGAUGUUUCAACUGGACCAACAAACUAGGGUUCACGAUAAAAAGGAGCCAGAAAAACCCCAGCACUUGCAGGUAACACUCAGCUGUGCUCUGAAGUCAUUCCUGGUAGUGUUCACUGAAGUGAAACAAAUGCUCUGGAACAAGUGAGCGUCCCUCCCCGGGGAAGGCUUGUCAUGCAACCAUCACGCGUCUCAGGAACAAUGAUGACGCUGUCCCCGGGAGGUCAGGAGAGGAAGCUGAGAGGCUCUGCCGUCCAAGCCAGAGCAAGACUGACAGAGAACCCACAGGGAAAUGUCAGGCUCGUGUAGAAGGGAAUGAAGAGACGCACAGCAAGCUCUGUGUGGACUGUGUCGAAAAUGGGAACAUUUGGUUCUAUUAAAUAUCCUGUCACCUUCAAACAAUUUUCUGUUUUGCCCUUUGAUAAGUGACAAAUGUCACAUUGCCCAGGUGGCAGUUCCACUAAAAAUAGUUGCUUGAGCCUUAUCAGUAUCAUUUAUCUGAGGCAGCAGGGAGCAUUGUCCUGCAGUGCAGACAGUCAUGUCCAGUUUCUCCCUCUCCUGAGCAACUUAUCGGCUUCAGGAUGGGCUAAGGUGGCAGCAUGGGACUGAUUGAGCACCUACUAAGUGUCAGGCUUUCCAGUAGACCUGUUCACAUCCAUCAGAUUCUCUCUUUUCUUGUAAUAAUUCUGUUAGCCUAUUGCCAAGGGGACAUGAACAGACCGGGUAGAAAUGAAGGCAACGUGCUGGAACCUGCUCGUUUUCCAUCUUCUCUGAUCUUAACGGAGUUGCACCAGGUGACGUCCUAUUUCAUUCACUUAGUGAUAGUGAAGUUGUCUGCAAAUGCCUUAACUUUGUACAAAUUUGGUUUCCUCAUUUGUAGAGUGGAGAUAAUUCCAUCUACCAUGCAUACCUCAUGGGUUUUGAUUAAAAAAAUUACU